rnacentral:rRNA from 1 species
UACGAAGGGGGCUAGCGUUGUUCGGAAUUACUGGGCGUAAAGGGCGCGCAGGCGGUCCUUCAAGUCAGGCGUGAAAGCCCCGGGCUCAACCUGGGAAUAGCGCUUGAGACUGAGGGACUUGAGUUCGGGAGAGGAGAGCGGAAUUCCCAGUGUAGAGGUGAAAUUCGUAGAUAUUGGGAAGAACACGGUGGCGAAGGCGGCUCUCUGGACCGACACCGACGCUGAGGCGCGAAAAGCGUGGG